rnacentral:rRNA from 1 species
AUUGAACGCUGGCGGCAUGCUUUACACAUGCAAGUCGAACGGUAACAGGACUUCGGUUGCUGGCGGGUGGUGACCGGGUGCGUGAUGCAUAGACAUGUGUCACGAGGCGGGGGGACACGGAGCAAAAGCUGUGAUAGUAGCGCAUGCGGUCUGAGGAUUUAAACGGGGGAGCACGCAGCAGUGAUUCGCUUCUCGUCUCUCGUGUGGACGGUGUCGCGUUGGGUAGUUGGUAGGGUAAGGGCCUACCAAGCCGACGAUCGGUAGCUGGUCUGAGAGGACGACCAGCCACACUGGGACUGAGACACGGCCCAGACUCCUACGGGAGGCAGCAGUGGGGAAUUUUGGACAAUGGGCGCAAGCCUGAUCCAGCAAUGCCGCGUGCGGGAAGAAGGCCUUCGGGUUGUAAAACGCUUUUGUACGGAAAGAAAAGACUCGUGCGAAAACCUGCAGCUCAUGACGGUACCGUAAGAAAAAGCACCGGCUAACUACGUG